AGGGUUGAACGCCAGUUUUAGGAAGGAUGGCAGCUGCAGGAAGCAGCAGUGACUGUGCAGCUCUGUUUUUACUGUCGGAUGAGACGGAUCGCCUGUUUGUAAGGCACAAGAAGAAGAAAGAGAGGGAAAUUUAAGGCAUGCAUAUGGAAAACUUCAACAUUUCUACAUUAACAGAGCAGUCAUAAAGCAAGUGAUUCUAAUAUCCACGCUGGCAUUUCAAAAGCCCUGGAAAUUUUUCAAGUGUGGACAGUAAGACUUAGUUGUCUCUUAGACGCGUUUCUAUUAAAACGUGCUUCCGUAAAUGCAUUUCAAGAGAACUUGGAUCACAAUCACAACAUUUUGAUUGUUUAGCAGCUCAGCUAUCUGCUCAUUUAAUUCCAAUAAUGCUGACAUUCAGAGGAUAUGGCAGCAGCGUCAUUCAUGCUACCUGCCUCAGGCUGUGAAGAACAUUAUCUCAUUUCAAAACAGCAGAGGAUGAGGAACGCAGAUGGACUGAGCAAAUGAUUGUUUCAAAAGGAGCGUUCGAAAAGAGGCGAAUGCGGACGUCAAAACCCUGCAGUCGUGAUUGCAAAACAAGACGGCCCCUGCUGAUGCUGACUUUUGCUCCGCCUGCUUUUUCUUUACCCUUCAACACUGCAUAAAUUUCAGAUUAGUGCUACACAACGUGAACAAAGAGCAGGACUGCUGCCGCGUGUGUUGUCUUCCAAAGCGCAGGCUACAUCCCAGAGGCGUCCCCGACAAUAAUCCUCAAAGAGAAUUGCUGAUGAAUAGAGUGACAAACCGUGGCAAGUAUUAAUGUUUGCAUCAUCAGAGGAAUAUAUUUAAUUAAUGGCUGUUUUAAUCCUUCCGCCGAAUCGCUGUUGUUGCCCUCUCGCUGCUCUAUUUGAUCCCCGUGCAAACACUCGGCACUUUGAUGUGAGAGGACAGACCUGAAGUGGAUUUCAGCCUUAUUGCAUGGUUUCACUGACAGAUUGAAGCUUAGCGCACGCAGCCAAAACUGUGGUUGCUCAUCGAGUAGAUGGAUUAUUAACUUAAUAUUCGAGUUUAUAUGCGGCUUGUGUCUCUUGGAGCCUGCGCUUCUGAUAUGAAUUAAGGAAUUCCGCUAAGCAGUGCAUUUUGUUUGGCUAAAGCAGCAACGUGCCCUCAGAAACUGCCACGAGGUAUAAACGAUCACUGGCUGAUUCAGAGAGA